rnacentral:snoRNA from 14 species
ACCUUCUUGUAUAAGCACUGUGCUAAAAUUGCAGAAACUAGGAUUAUGUCUUGGUUUUUGUAAUAAUGCUAGUAGAGUAUUCUUAGCUCAGUUGGUCACUUUCCUCAUCCAGCCCCACACCU